AACACAUGACCUUCCUGCUCACAGCAUAAAGACCAGCUCUCUUUCUCUCUGGACUCUACAGUUUGGCUCAGCACCAGUGAACCUGUGCUCCCUCCAAAGCUAAGGCAGCAUUCGAGUUAAAGUUUCUUAUUUGACAGGUAAAAUUUGAGAAUUAAAAGGAUCCUUGGAGAUCAAGUACAUGUGGGAAAAACAGAGAUUCAGAAAGAGGAAAGAAAGUACUUGCCAAAGGUCAUGCAAAGAAUCUGUGACUCAAUGGGUCUGGAUUCCAGGCCAUUGUUCUUUCUGUUCUACCCAAGGAGGACCAAGACACCAAGAAGCAGGAGCUAACUUGUGACUGAUCCAGUUGAGUUUUGUCAUAUUGGAGGGCCACAUCUUCCAAGACGAUCUCACUGUCCCAAGGAAGCCCCUGGUCUGGCUUCCAGCAGUGCCACGCUCCGUGUAUUUGACAAGCUGAGUUGGACACUCCAUGUGGUAGAGUGUCAGUUUGUCAAAUACCCCAAGUGCGGCACCUGCCUAGCAGCUCCAGGCCAGGGCAGAUGGACACAAUGAAUAAAUUGUCGACUACAUAAAAGAAUGCUUUCCAAACACCGAGCUCUCCUGUUAUUUUCUAUGACUUUGAGGGAACUAAAGCAUUGUAUCUUAGAAUACGGGGGAAAAGUGACACAGCUCUGGGGGCAACUACUAUGAGAUAUGUCUGCAAACAUCAUGAGAAUGCUAAAGAGUACACAAGCUCUUCAUGGCAUAGGAGAUAAAGGGAGGGAAGUGCUUGUUUACUCAUUCUUUUCUUUCUUCAUAUCCCCCUUCUCAUAGCCAGGACCCCAGGAUUCUCAUACAAGUAUUAUGACUUAUGUGAGAAAGCAAGGCAUACUUUCAUUAUUGCCUUCCUCCUUUUCCUCUUGUUUUUCUCCCUGGGUCACAUUCUCUAUUUUUUUGCCUGUCCAAUUUGUCCCUAUAUGUCUAGGCCUUGUCAGUGUCCAGUCCCUCUGGGCACAUUCCCAAAUAAACCUAUACUUUUUCCUUUAUCAUGUACAAAAUACUAUUUAUCUGGGUCUUAGUAUGUGCCCAUAUGUCUCCUACCAGUCAAAAUAACCUUUUGGAUUGCUAGUGAGUUUUCUCAGGGAAUAUUCUUGAGAUCUUAACUGCAUUGUGAGCUUCUAGAACACAUGACUAUUUCCUUGAUGAAUACUUCCACUACAGUUGCCUAGCAUUUUAACUAUGAUACUCAAUAAAUGUUUUACUGAUUGACUUCAUUAGUCAAUUAGUCCAUUAGCAUUGAGUUUAGGUACCAAAUGUCACCUGGGAUUUUGUGGGAGAAAAGAAAUCACUCUGUGAACCUCAUAUAGAGUGGACAGAACAUCAGCAAACAUGGAGGGUUUUUGCUUCCUGAGAAAUAAACCCAAGGGUUAAAAGAGGAGGCCAAAAAUGAGCUCAGAGAGCAAAUAAAUUUUGGGAUCACUUGGUCAAAGUUACACAGGUACUUUAUUGCAGAAUUCUUCAGAGACUUUAACAUUCUAAUAUUAUAUUCCUUAUCUCUAGGAUGGAAGUAGAGUGAAGUAGUUUGUAUACUUCUCUGACUAUGGAGAUUUUUCCAUUGGCUAUCUCAAAUAUUACAUGGAACAAAAUUUCAAAAAUUGCCCUGGACCUAAAAAAAUAAGUGAAGUAAGUCAGGCUAAGGGAGAAAAAGGCAUGUUUUCUUUCUGUGGAAGUUGGAUCUAAAUUAUAAGAAUAUAUGAAAACAUAUACAGGGUUAUAUGUAUGUAUAUAUACACAAACAUUUGGUAUAUGUACAGGAGAAUUCCAAUGAUGUAACUCCUUUGAAUAACUAAUUUACAGUUUAAAAAAUGAAUAGCAGGAGCCUGAAACUUGUUUUGUUGAGGAGAGAUCAAGGGGACCAGGGACAGAAAUGGAAAGAGGAAUGGUGGGUGAAUAUCAUAAUAAUAUUCAAUAUAUAUAUAUAUAUAUGAAAAUUGAACCAAGUAACUUGAGAGGAUGGGUGAGGUUUGGAAAGAUGGAGGAGAACAAUGGAUGGGUGACAUUGAUCAAGAUGCAUUGUACUCAUACGCUGACAUGUUGAAUUGAAACCCCUUUGUACAACUAAAAGAUAAUAAAAUUUAAAAAAAAUUCCCUAGAGAAAUUUCUAACUGUCCCUGUCUUCUGGAAAUCCUCCCCUCUUUUCACUCCUCUACAUUCCCCUGGUCAGCUAGCAUCCAAAGACAGGUCCUAUGGCAAUAUUCUCAUUGAUUUUAUACUAUCCUGGAAACUAGGUCUACUUCUGUACUCAGGAAUCACUUUCUGAUUUAUUCUAUAUUGAAAACAAGUUUGGAAGCAAAGAAAAUCUCCAGAAAGUUCUUGUUGUGAUGAAUAAAUAUGCCUAAAAGUU